rnacentral:rRNA from 1 species
UACGUAGGGGGCAAGCGUUGUCCGGAUUUAUUGGGCGUAAAGAGCGUGUAGGCGGCCAUACAGGUCCGUUGUGAAAACUGGAGGCUUAACCUCCAGACGUCGAUGGAAACCGUAUGGCUAGAGUCCGGAAGAGGAGAGUGGAAUUCCUGGUGUAGCGGUGAAAUGCGCAGAUAUCAGGAAGAACACCGGUGGCGAAGGCGGCAUCCUGGACCGAGAUUGACGCUGAGGCGCGAAAGCCAGGGGAGCAAACGGG